AGAGGCUUCAAAAACCAAGACAAGUACGACGAACACGUCUCUCAACAUGUCAAGUGCUCGGUUGAAGACUGCAGCUUCACUGCUCAUGAGAAGCUGGUCAACAUUCACUGGAAGAAUAACCAUGCCCCAGGAGCAAAG